GCCACCAAAAUGAUCUCGAGACAGCACAUAUGGUUUUAUUAAUACCUAGAUGUCCAGCAGAUACAUUGUUGUGGAAGACUUUUAUCACCUCCUUUCUUUCUAACAAAGAAAUAAACAAUCUAUCCUGAAGUUUAUCACAGGGUGCCUGGGACUGAGCCGCCAUGAUAGAACAAAGAAGAGGGGAUGACAAAGGACAGUGGAUGCAAUAAAACUCUCAAGUGGAACAAUAGGGGAUGUAUCUUGUUCUUGUUCAGAUUCAAUGUCAAAUUGCCGAGAUAAGGCAUCAGCUUUAAAAUUCUUGGGGACCUGGUCUGUAAGUGAUGAUAAAGUUAAAGCGAGAUAAAAACAAAGACCAUCUAGCUUGUCUAGAACACAGUCGUUUAGCAUUACCUAUAUAUGCCAGGUUUUUGUGAUCAGUAAUGAUCAAAAGGUGGUCCUUGGAACCCUCCAAAAG